GACGAACGCUGGCGGCGUGGAUUAGGCAUGCAAGUCGAACGGUAUCAUCCUUUCGGGGGUGAGAGAGUGGCGAACUGGUGAGUAACACGUAGGUUAUCUACCCUCAAGACGGGGACAACCCAGGGAAACUUGGGCUAAUACCGGAUGUGAGCAACUUUUAGUUGUUUGAAAGGUGGCGUAAGCUGUCGCUUGGGGAUGAGCCUGCGUCCUAUUAGUUAGUUGGUGAGGUAACGGCUCACCUAGGCAAUGAUAGGUAGGCGGCCUUAACGGGUGGUCGCCCACACUGGGAUUGAGAUACGGCCCAGACUCCUACGGGAGGCAGCAGUCGAGAAUAGUCUACAAUGGUCGGAAGACUGAUAGUGCGACGCCGCGUGAACGAUGAAUCCCUUCGGGGUGUAAAGUUCUUUUAUAUGUGAGCAGUGCUUCUUAUAUUAACAGUAUGGGGAGAGAGAUAUUAGCAUAUGAAUAAGCAACGGCUAACUCCGUGCCAGCAGCCGCGGUAAUGUA
rnacentral:rRNA from 1 species